AUUGAACGCUGGCGGCAGGCCUAACACAUGCAAGUCGAGCGAGCGGCGGAAGGGUGAGUAAUGUCUGGGAAACUGCCUGAUGGAGGGGGAUAACUACUGGAAACGGUAGCUACUACCGCAUCUCAUCGGAUAUGGCCAGAUGGGAUUAGCUAGUAGGUGGGGUAACGGCUCACCUAGGCGACGCGCCCUAGCUGGUAGGUGAGGAUGAGCAGCCACACUGGAAAUGAGACACGGUCCAGACUCCUACGGGAGGCAGCAGUGGGGAAUAUUGCACAAUGGGCGCAAGCCUGAUGCAGCCAUGCCGCGUGUAUGAAGAAGGCCUUCGGGUUGUAAAGUCCGUUCAGCGGGGAGGCGUUACCCGCAGAAGAAGCACCGGCUAACUCCGUGCCAGCAGCCGCGGUAAUAC
rnacentral:rRNA from 1 species